rnacentral:rRNA from 1 species
GACGAACGCUGGCGGCGUGCUUAACACAUGCAAGUCGAACGGAAAGGCCCUGCUUUUGUGGGGUGCUCGAGUGGCGAACGGGUGAGUAACACGUGAGUAACCUGCCCUUGACUUUGGGAUAACUUCAGGAAACUGGGGCUAAUACCGGAUAGGAGCUCCUGCUGCAUGGUGGGGGUUGGAAAGUUUCGGCGGUUGUGGAUGGACUCGCGGCUUAUCAGUUUGUUGGUGGGGUAGUGGCUUACCAAGGCUUUGACGGGUAGCCGGCCUGAGUGGGUGACCGGCCACCUUGGGACUGAGAUACGGCCCAGACUCCUACGGGAGGCAGCAGUGGGAAAUAUUGCACAAUGGGCGGAAGCCUGAUACAGCAACGCCGCGUGCGGGAUGACGGCCUUCGGGUUGUAAACCGCUUUCGCCUGUGACGAAGCGUGAGUGACGGUAAUGGGUAAAGAAGCACCGGCUAACUACGUG